rnacentral:lncRNA from 1 species
GGUGUAUGUUCACUUGUGUUUUAUGUCUUUUGAUUGAGUUAAGCCAUUUCAAUUGAUAUUUUAUAGUGUGUCUUUCUAUGUUGUGUUGUUACACUAUUGUUUCAGGUAAGGGGGAUGAUUGGUACCUAUUAAAACGUUUAAACUCGCAGCAAUUGUUUGAACCUGUCCUAAGUCGUGAAUCUGAUGUUCAGUAGUUUUCGUUUGUUGCUGUGGUUCCUAAGUGUUUCUCGUUUUUGUUGUUGUUGGUUUUUUUUUUAUAGAUUAGACCGUUGGUUUUACGGUUUUAAUGGGUUUACACAAGGUAUUUUUGGGGGCUCUUUAUAGCUUGCCGUUCGGUGUGAGCCAAGGCUUCGUUUUGAAGACCGUACUUUGACCUAUUAUGGUUUUCUU